UACGAAGGGGGCUAGCGUUGUUCGGAUUUACUGGGCGUAAAGCGCACGUAGGCGGAUCUUUAAGUCAGAGGUGAAAUCCCAAGGCUCAACCUUGGAACUGCCUUUGAUACUGGGGAUCUUGAGUCCGGGAGAGGUGAGUGGAACUGCGAGUGUAGAGGUGAAAUUCGUAGAUAUUCGCAAGAACACCAGUGGCGAAGGCGGCUCACUGGCCCGGUACUGACGCUGAGGCUCGAAAGCGUGGGGAGCAAACAGG
rnacentral:rRNA from 1 species